rnacentral:misc_RNA from 1 species
AUAUAUGAACUACAAACGUUUUAACCUUCAAUGUAGUGACGUUUCGGGAGUGGAUAUUUACUAUUUAAUAAUUCAGAAAAACAGAAAAUUCUAAUACAAUCAAAGGAAGUAGAUUGUUAGCAAAAGGAUUAUGUUCUCAAAUUAUGACUGUAUUGAUAGUUUCAUUGUGUGUUUAUCUGUGCAGACAAACGGAACAAUUGCUGCUACAUAACCUAAAAGAAACGUUAUUAGCAUAAAUGAAUGAAUUAUUCACUAGAUUGUUUCGUACAGAUGCUAUAGCUAGAAACAAGUUGUAGCAUUCAAGGCACUGAGUUGACGUUUAAGUUGUUAAAUGCUAGAUCCAAAGCGCGUACAGUUUUCAACUAGCUGUCUCUGGCUGAGUUAGGGCUAAAAAUAACUAGUGUGUCUCUAGCGUGAGUGUGAGUGUGUGUGGGGCAAGGGAAUUCACUUCUCGCCUUGGUUAUUUAGUCUUAAUGGUUUAUUAUAUAUUGACUCCUAUAGAUUUAGUAAAUUCAUACAAUGCUGAUGUUUGUUAGUGUAAAAUGUUACUUCAAGACUGCUGGGACUUUAUGUGCAAGGAGAUGAGGAUUAACUAAUAGCAAGUAGACGCCAAUUUCCAGUGAGACGGCAAGAUGGUUGUGCCGGAGGCUUCCAUCAACAACAUCAUGGGCGGGCUGGAGAGCACGGGGGGAGUUCGCCUGCACAACCACAAGCGAAAGCUCAAGCAAAGGUUUGACAUAGUGAAGAAGCUGGGCCAAGGGACGUAUGGCAAGGUACAGCUGGGGAUUAAUAAAGAGACAGGACAAGAGGUUGCCAUUAAAACUAUAAAGAAAUGCAAAAUAGAGACAGAGGCAGAUCUAAUCAGGAUACGAAGAGAAAUCCAGAUCAUGUCUUCUGUCCAGCAUCCCAACAUUAUUCAUAUUUAUGAAGUGUUUGAGAACCGAGAGAAGAUGGUGUUGGUGAUGGAGUAUGCUGCGGGGGGUGAGCUCUACGACUUCCUGAGUGAGCGCAAGGUGCUGGCUGAGGAUGAAGCUAGGAGAAUCUUCAGGCAGAUUUCCACAGCCGUCUACUACUGCCAUAAGCACAAGAUUUGCCAUCGAGACUUGAAACUAGAAAACAUUCUGCUAGAUGAAAAUGGGAAUGCCAAGAUAGCUGACUUUGGGUUGUCGAACGUGUUUGAUGAGAGUCGACUGCUGGGUACAUUCUGUGGCAGUCCACUCUAUGCCAGCCCAGAGAUUGUCAAGGGCACACCCUACCAUGGUCCAGAGGUUGAUUGCUGGUCGCUAGGAGUGCUAUUGUACACUCUAGUAUAUGGAGCCAUGCCAUUCGACGGAUCAAACUUUAAGAGACUUGUCAGACAGAUCUCUCAGGGUGACUACUUUGAGCCCAAAAAAGCUUCUCCUGCCUCACCGCUCAUCAGAGACAUGCUGAACAUAAACGCUGGGCGGAGAGCAGACAUCACUGCGAUCUGUUCCCACUGGUGGAUAGAUGCUGGUCAAUCGGAGGCUUGCCUGGAGGUAGCGGAGGAGUUGGCCAACCAGACGCCGGUACGCCUGGACCUGCUGUUGUGUUUGGCUCCCAGUGGCGACAAUGACAAGAUGCUUCUAGCGGACCAGCCGCCAAUACAGGAGGCCACCGAUAGACCUCUGAGGUCUCAAUCUCUCAGUAGCCUCGCCACCGCUCAGGUACAACCUGACUUCUUACCAGAACCUGCAUCCAGUCAGAGCAGACGAGACACAGAAAGUAGGAGCAAGAGGAAAGAGGAAGGUGGAAGUGUUAAAAGAAAAGAAAGGUCGAGAAGUAGAAGAGAAAGGUCGAGUAGUAGAAGUAGAAGGGAUGAUUCUACUCCUGAACCUGAUUCUGUAUCAGAGAAACCCAAAAGGCGAUCUGUGAAGUCAAAGAAAAGCAGCAGUGAGGGUUUGGUAUUAGAACAGCCUAAAGAGGAAGUUCUCCAACCAAAGAUAGCAGAAGUUGAAGAAGACUUAGCAAAAUCCAGUGAAACGAUCCUCGCACCAACAACGCCAGUUGAUGAAGUUCCUAAAGCGAAAUCUCCUGUGCCUUCAGAUGAAGUUGUAAUAGAAGAGAUUAAAUCUGAGGAGCCAGAGACACCUUCAACUCCAGUACAUGAAGUUUUUAAACAGCCGUCUCCAUUGGCUUCCCCAGUACCAACAACCCCCACCACACCCACACAGCCUAUGGCUUUCUCACUACCUGCAGAGAAAAUAGAAGAUAAAACACCUGAAGAAGAAAAACCUACAAAGCCCAUGGAAAGAAGAAAAUCAAAAAUAUUUGAAACAGCUGAAAAAUUCAAUAAAAUAGGUACAGCUGAAGCCCAACCAAAACCUCAACCAAAGAAAAUGGUUUUACCUGGUGUAAAAGUAAGCGAUGCCAAGAAAGCAUAUGAAAGAAGGUCAUCAUUGGCAUCAUCAACUAACUUUAUUCGAGGUUCAGCUUCAAGAAAAAGUUUAUCAGGUGAAUCGAGUUUGUCUCCUCCAGCUGUUGAAGAUGCCAAGUUCUCCCUGGCAUCUUCAGUAGCAUUGAACAAACUGGUUGAGAAUGUGGAGAGGCUUUCUAAAAUGGAAGAUGAAAAAGAGAAGGAGAAGGAAAGUAGUGUAGAAACACCAACGGAAACAAAGGUACCAGAGCAACCUCCCAAACCAAGUCCUGAAAGAAUUAUUGAAGUAAAAAGAGAAGAACCAAAGGUUGAAGAAAGUGCCAAGCCUGAAGAAGAAACAAGGAAGAAAGUAAAAACAGCCAUUCAGGUUAUCGGUAAUGCCAUUACAGAAGGCAUUGGCGAGUCUAAAGCUGCCACAUUGCCAAGGAGACGGACAUCUAGAGCAGAGAUUAAACUGGCCAUGCCACCGACAAAACCAGCUGAGUUCCGCAGUGAGGUGGAGCACAUGGUUGGGUCACCAGUGGCUGUGCAAAGGUCAGAAGUUAAGUUUCCAGUAGCUGCACCUCAGUCCACCCCUCGAUCUGCUGGCAGACAGGGUAGCACGCCACGUGAGUAUAUUGUACCAAUACAACUGGAACAGGACACAGCUGUCAAGCCCCCGCCCCCUCCGUCUGCCUCGCAACGUCCUGUCAGUCGCACCAGUUCCAAGAGUUUGUCUCGACAAAGUACGCAGGACUCGGACCUGGGCAGCACGGCCAGUAUGGGAGAACCCAUCCGUAAGUCUCCCAGGGAGGUCAUCAUUCCCAUUGCCGUGGAAGGCGGAGGCUACGUCACGCCUAGUGCCGACACCAUCUCUCGCAUGAGUUCUUUGAAUGAGAGUGAGGAUGACUUGCCGAGAGGGUUCGGUUUGCACAGUUCUCGCAGACACAAUCGUCAGUUAGAGACUGCUGAUAGUGUGAGCUCAGACGAGGAUGAUGACAACUUUGAGAUCCUGACUGCUGAGAAUCUCUUCUCCACAUUGCUGUCCAGGGUGCGCAGCCUGACCCAGCGGCUUAACACAGAAGAGAGACCAUCAGCCUUCCCCCGAUUGUUCAACCACCAUCACUCCCUCUUUGACAUGCCCCCCAGUCGCAGGCUGUCAGAGGCCCGGUCGUUCGGGCGUGCAGACAAUGUGCCCUGGCGUCGCAGCACCAGCCGAGAGGGCUCACUGUUGCCACGAGCGGCCGAGCUGCGUGCCGCCGUGCAUGCCCCGCCAGAGGAUGACCAAUAACCAACCGCCUAGGUAACACUAACAUUACCUACAUUACCCGCCUCUACCUCUUGUUGUUGUUUGUCAAUGGGUCGGUUAAUAAAAUCGGAGCUCCACAACGAACUGGAUCCCUAAAAUCAUCAGGGAAGGACAAGCCUCCGCCAUAUCGGCCGGCAACGGUGCGUAACACUACUGACAGCUUGAGGCGUCAUCUUAACUCUACA